rnacentral:rRNA from 1 species
GAUGAACGCUGACAGAAUGCUUAACACAUGCAAGUCUACUUGAACUUCGGUUUGGGUGGCGGACGGGUGAGUAACGCGUAAAGAACUUGCCUCACAGUUAGGGACAACAUUUGGAGACGAAUGCUAAUACCUGAUAUUAUGAUUUUAGGGCAUCCUAGGAUUAUGAAAGCUAUAUGUGCUGUGAGAGAGCUUUGCGUCCCAUUAGCUAGUUGGAGAGGUAACGGCUCACCAAGGCGAUGAUGGGUAGCCGGCCUGAGAGGGUGAACGGCCACAAGGGGACUGAGACACGGCCCUUACUCCUACGGGAGGCAGCAGUGGGGAAUAUUGGACAAUGGACCAAAAGUCUGAUCCAGCAAUUCUGUGUGCACGAUGACGUUUUUCGGAAUGUAAAGUGCUUUCAGUUGGGAAGAAAAAAAUGACGGUACCAACAGAAGAAGUGACGGCUAAAUACGUG